rnacentral:antisense_RNA from 1 species
AUCCCACCGAGGCCACCAUAGACCAGCCAGCCCUCAGCGUACAUGCCAGCUAAUUACAGAUGCAGGAGCAAACCCCUGGCCCAUACAUCAAUUUUAAUGUCAUUGAAUACAGAGAACAAAUCUCAUUCAUUUUGGUAUCGGCUCAAGUCAACAAACAUUUAAAAAUCAUUUACUGCAUCUGAUUUUGGGUAUGUUGAAUUGGUGACGUCUGAGUUGCUUCUGGUCUAUCCUGAUAGAAACAUACAGUAAACAGAGAAAAAAAAGGGUCUCAGGUGAGAUGAUGUAUGGGAAUGCUCAGCAUACAGAAUGAAUGGAUAAGAGGCCUGAAAACAUAAUCCUGUAAACAACCAUAUUGAAAGAGAAGACAGAAGACAUCAAACAGAUUUUGAGUCUUGCUCUAUGGCCCAGACUGGAGUGCAGUGGCGUGAUCUUGGCUCACUUCAACCUCCACCUCCCGGGUUCGAGAGAGAUUCUCCUGCCUCAUCCUCCCGAGUAGCUGGGAUCACCGGCGCCCACAACCACACCCGACUAAUUUUUGUACUUUUAGUGGAGACAGGGUUUCACCAUGUUGGCUAGGCUGGUCACAAACUCCCGACCUCAGGUUAUCCAUCUGCCUUGGCCUCCCAAAGUGCUGGGAUUACAGGCGUGAGCCCCCGCACCUGGCCAAGAUCAGCUAGAUUUUGGAAGCAUUGCCUUCUACAGAAUCCACAGUAGUCCGAAGUUCUUCUACGGUUUUU